AUUGAACGCUGGCGGCGUGCUUAACACAUGCAAGUCGAUCGGUAACAGGUGUAGCAAUACAUGCUGACGAGAGGCGGACGGGUGAGGAAUAUUUGGGAAUCUGCCCAUCAGCGGGGGACAACCCGGGGAAACCCGGGCUAAUACCGCAUACGCUCUACGGAGGAAAGCCGGGGACCGCAAGGCCUGGCACUGAUGGAUGAGCCAAAAUCGGAUUAGCUAGUUGGCGGGGUAACGGCCCACCAAGGCGACGAUCCGUAGCUGGUCUGAGAGGACGAUCAGCCACACCGGAACUGAGACACGGUCCGGACUCCUACGGGAGGCAGCAGUGGGGAAUAUUGGACAAUGGGGGAAACCCUGAUCCAGCGACGCCGCGUGGGUGAAGAAGGCCUGCGGGUUGUAAAGCCCUUUCGGUAGGGACGAAAGCUCUUGCUCCAACAAAGCAGGAGGUUGACUUAACCUACAUAAGAAGCACCGGCUAACUCUGUGCCAGCAGCCGCCGCAGUAA
rnacentral:rRNA from 1 species